rnacentral:misc_RNA from 1 species
GAUGAAGAACGCAGUGAAAUGCGAUACUUGGUGUGAAUUGCAGAAUCCCGCGAAUCAUCGAGUUUUUGAACGCAAGUUGCGCCCGAAGCCAUUCGGCCGAGGGCACGUCUGCCUGGGUGUUACGCAUCGUUGCCCCCCCAAACUCCGGUUCGGGCGGGGCGGAAGUUGGCCUCCCGUGCGUGCCUGCGCGCGCGGUUAGCCCAAAAGCGAGUCCUCGGCGACGAGCGCCACGACAAUCGGUGGUUUUUUUACCCUCGUUCCUCGUCGUGCGUGUCCCGUCGCCCGAACACGCUCUUGUGACCCUCACGCGUCGCCUCGGCGGCGCUCCCAACGCGACCCCAGGUCAGGCGGGACUACCCGCUGAGUUUAAGCAUAUCAAUAAGCGGAGGA